GCUAGCGUGCCAAGCGAUGGUCCUUCCGUCAGGAAGGUGAAAAGGGAAGCCGGUGGGAGGCGCGGUGCGUCUCGAUCCCGGAGCUGCCCCCGCAACUGUAAGCGACGAGCCAUUGCCGAGGCCACUGGGAAUUCCUGGGAAGGCGGCGAAUGGCGGCGACUCGCGAGCCAGGAGACCUGCCAUCGCGUAUUGUGCUUUG
rnacentral:ncRNA from 21 species